rnacentral:rRNA from 1 species
CACGCCGUAAACUAUGGAUGCUAGCUGUUAUCAGUAUCGACCCUGGUAGUAGCGAAGCUAACGCGUUAAGCAUCCCGCCUGUGGAGUACGAGCGCAAGCUUAAAACAUAAAGGAAUUGACGGGGACCCGCACAAGCGGUGGAGCGUGUUGUUUAAUUCGAUGGUAAGCGAAGAACCUUACCCAGGUUUGACAUCCCACUAAUUUCUCCGAAAGGAGAAAGUGCCUUCGGGCCGUGGUGACAGGUGU